rnacentral:rRNA from 1 species
UCUCAGUCGGAUGCAGGCUGCAACUCGCCUGCAUGAAGUCGGAAUUGCUAGUAAUCGCGGAUCAGCAUGCCGCGGUGAAUACGUUCUCGGGCCUUGUACACACCGCCCGUCACACCAUGGGAGUCGGUAACACCCGAAGUCUGUAGCCUGACGCAAGAGGGCGCAGCCGGAGGUGGGAUUGAUGACUGGGGUGAAGUCGUAACAAGGUACC